UAUUUGAUAGURCCUUACUACUUGGAUAACCGUGGUAAUUCUAGAGCUAAUACAUGCUAAAAACCUCAACUUCGGAAGGGGUGUAUUUAUUAGAUAAAAAACCAAUGCCCUUCGGGGCUCCUUGGUGAUUCAUAAUAACUUAACGAAUCGCAUGGCCUUGCGCCGGCGAUGGUUCAUUCAAAUUUCUGCCCUAUCAACUUUCGAUGGUAGGAUAGUGGCCUACCAUGGUAUCAACGGGUAACGGGGAAUUAGGGUUCUAUUCCGGAGAGGGAGCCUGAGAAACGGCUACCACAUCCAAGGAAGGCAGCAGGCGCGCAAAUUACCCAAUCCCGACACGGGGAGGUAGUGACAAUAAAUACUGAUACAGGGCUCUUUUGGGUCUUGUAAUUGGAAUGAGUACAAUUUAAAUCCCUUAACGAGGAACAAUUGGAGGGCAAGUCUGGUGCCAGCAGCCGCGGUAAUUCCAGCUCCAAUAGCGUAUAUUAAAGUUGUUGCAGUUAAAAAGCUCGUAGUUGAACCUUGGGCCUGGCUGACCGGUCCGCCUCACCGCGUGCACUGGUUCGGCCGGGCCUUUCCUUCUGGAGAAUCUCAUGCCCUUUACUGGGUGUGUUGGGGAACCAGGACUUUUACUUUGAAAAAAUUAGAGUGUUCAAAGCAGGCCUAUGCUCGGAUACAUUAGCAUGGAAUAAUAGAAUAGGACGUGUGGUUCUAUUUUGUUGGUUUCUAGGACCG
rnacentral:rRNA from 1 species